GAUGAACGCUGGCGGCGUGCUUAACACAUGCAAGUCGAACGAUGAAAGCGGGAGCUUGCUCCUGCUGGAUUAGUGGCGAACGGGUGAGUAACACGUGAGCAAUCUGCCCCGAACUCUGGGAUAAGCGUUGGAAACGACGUCUAAUACCGGAUACGACGCGCGAAGGCAUCUUCUGCGCGUGGAAAGAACUUCGGUUCGGGAUGAGCUCGCGGCCUAUCAGCUAGUUGGUGAGGUAACGGCCCACCAAGGCGACGACGGGUAGCCGGCCUGGGAGGGUGACCGGCCACACUGGGACUGAGACACGGCCCAGACUCCUACGGGAGGCAGCAGUGGGGAAUAUUGCACAAUGGGCGCAAGCCUGAUGCAGCAACGCCGCGUGCGGGAUGACGGCCUUCGGGUUGUAAACCGCUUUUAGUAAGGAAGAAGCCUUCGGGUGACGGUACUUGCAGAAAAAGGACCGGCUAACUUCGUGCCAGCCGCCGCGGUAACAC
rnacentral:rRNA from 1 species